rnacentral:rRNA from 1 species
AUUGAACGCUGGCGGCAUGCUUUACACAUGCAAGUCGAACGGUAACAGGGAAAAGCUUGCUUUCUGCUGACGAGUGGCGAACGGGUGAGUAAUACAUCGGAACGUGCCCUGUAGUGGGGGAUAACUACUCGAAAGAGUGGCUAAUACCGCAUACAACCUGAGGGUAAAAGUGGGGGACCGCAAGGCCUCACGCUAUAGGGAGCGGCCGAUGGAAGAUUAGGUAGUUGGUAGGGUAAAGGCCUACCAAGCCGACGAUCUUUAGCGGGUCUGAGAGGACGAUCCGCCACACUGGGACUGAGACACGGCCCAGACUCCUACGGGAGGCAGCAGUGGGGAAUUUUGGACAAUGGGGGCAACCCUGAUCCAGCAAUGCCGCGUGAGUG